GGGGAAGGGAAUCCUCAUUAUCACAGUCCAUUUUACAAAUUUCUAGUCAUGCAACUGCACAUUAAAUUAAGUUUUAUCAUAGAUAUGAAUCUAUAAUAUUCAUCAUAUCCAUUUCAGAGCAGUAGGACAAUAUGCGUACAAUAAAUCAGCUAACUACAAGUUAACUGUUGAACCAAUUUCUAACGAUAUAGAUAUUAAUUCAGAACUGAAUGGGGUUCUAGGAAACAGAACAUACAAGAAACUGAAGACAUUUGGUUCUGAAAUUCUUUUAGCAUCAAAGUCCAAUGAAUUUAUGUAGGCAUUAUAACAGUUUUUUU
rnacentral:misc_RNA from 1 species